rnacentral:piRNA from 1 species
UACCCGUGAUGGCUAAUCUUGACCCAUCG